rnacentral:rRNA from 1 species
GAACGAACGCUGGCGGCAGGCCUAACACAUGCAAGUCGAGCGGGGGAGCAAUCCCUAGCGGCGGACGGGUUAGUAACGCGUGGGAAUCUGCCCCUUGGUUCGGAAUAACAGCGAGAAAUUGCUGCUAAUACCGGAUAAUGACGUAAGUCCAAAGAUUUAUCGCCAAGGGAUGAGCCCGCGUAGGAUUAGCUAGUUGGUGUGGUAAAGGCGCACCAAGGCGACGAUCCUUAGCUGGUCUGAGAGGAUGAUCAGCCACACUGGGACUGAGACACGGCCCAGACUCCUACGGGAGGCAGCAGUGGGGAAUAUUGGACAAUGGGCGAAAGCCUGAUCCAGCAAUGCCGCGUGAGUGAUGAAGGCCUUCGGGUCGUAAAGCUCUUUUACCAGGGAUGAUAAUGACAGUACCUGGAGAAUAAGCUCCGGCUAACUCCGUG